rnacentral:rRNA from 1 species
AGCAAACGCUGGCGGCGUGCCUAAUACAUGCAAGUCGAACGGGGAAGUACCUUCGGGUAUUGUACUAGUGGCGUACGGGUGAGUAACACGUGGAUAAUCUUCCUUCGGAUGGGGAAUAACUAAUCGAAAGAUUAGCUAAUACCGCAUAAGACCACAGUCUCUUUGGAGACAGGGGUUAAAGGCUUCGGCCGUCUGAAGAUGAGUCUGCGUCCGAUUAGCUAGUUGGUGAGGUAAUAGCUUACCAAGGCGACGAUCGGUAGCUGGUCUGAGAGGAUGAUCAGCCACACUGGGACUGACACACGGCCCAGACUCCUACGGGAGGCAG